rnacentral:rRNA from 1 species
AGCAGUAGCGCGGAAUACGUAGGGUGCAAGCGUUAAUCGGAAUUACUGGGCGUAAAGCGUGCGCAGGCGGUUAUAUAAGACAGAUGUGAAAUCCCCGGGCUCAACCUGGGAACUGCAUUUGUGACUGUAUAGCUAGAGUACGGCAGAGGGGGAUGGAAUUCCGCGUGUAGCAGUGAAAUGCGUAGAUAUGCGGAGGAACACCGAUGGCGAAGGCAAUCCCCUGGGCCUGUACUGACGCUCAUGCACGAAAGCGUGGGGAGCAAACAGGAUUAGAUACCCGUGUAGUCCCUGUCUCUUAUACAC